GAGGAGGAGAGAGGAUGGUGGUUAGGAUUUUAAAACCACUACAGAUUUUCUAUGUCACAAGCUUAUUUUUUCAACAUUCAAAACUAGAGGUCCAAGACUGGAGUCUACAGCCUGACCGAUAUUAUCUUAUAUCAGAUAUACAGUAUGAAUAUCUAUUUAUAUGUUGGCUGAUAAGCCACAAGAAAUUUCUGUACAGAAAAACAGAAGAUAUAUUUCAAGUAAUUUAGAAAGAAUGAUGCUAUUAUGUAGUUUGUCCACCAGAAAAGAACAAAAAGUUGUUUAUUUACAAAUCCAGCAACAUUCUCAUUUAUUUUGGGAUCUGUGUCCACCUGUUGAAUAUAAGUCACAUAAUAUUCACUUUACUUGUCUCUGUUUUUGGUCUCUACCAACUAGCAGGUAUAGUGUACAGUGGGUUUAUCAAAGCCUUUUCGUUAACAGCGUCUGCCUGCUGUUACCAAAACAGCUAUUGUUAAAUGCUGAAGGACACAAAGUAGAAGCACAGUCCUGUGUGUGAAAUCCCUUUUUCAACCGGGGAUGAACCUACCCUUUAGUGGAUUCUUAUGAAAAAUGUUUGUUUAUGUAAUGUGUUUAUGCAAAAUAAAAACUGAUUGAUGAAAACUGAAUUUUCUACACUCUCAAAGUUCAAUGUUGUGGCUCAAAACUCCAGUAUUUGUUGGGCUAUCCAAGACUCACCAGACUACACACAAUAUAACAUAGUUCUUGGUAACACUUUAUUUUAAGGUGCUUGUAAUAAGCAGUAAUUAACACUUUAAGAUGCUUAUAAACACAAAUAAUUGUUAACUAAAGCACAAUUAACAAAUUUAUAAUUGCUUAUAAGACACUAAUAGGCUGUUAUUAGAAACUUGUUGAUGGUUUAUAUACCUGUCAUUAACAUUAAUAAGAUGUUUAUUAACAUUAAUUAGACUUUAUAAGGAUUGGUUAUUGAGAAAAUAACAGUUGUUAUUUCCUUGUAAGACACUUGUAGUGAACUUAUUAAAAUAAUCUUAAUGUUAAUAGGCAGCUUAUAAAAUACAUCUUUAUUAACAUUGAUAAGACUUUAUAAGUAUUUUCUCAAAAUAUGAAUGAACACAUUUCUUAUUUCUUAUUAGCAUCGGUAUGAGCACUUACUAGAAACUUGUUAACAAGUUAUAUAUAGGCCUACCUUAAGAACCUUAAUAAAAUGUUUAUUAACAUUAAUAGUAAUAUCCCAAAAUACGUUUAUUAUUGGCUUGUAAGAUAUUUAUGAGCUCCACCCAAACAGAAGAGGUAGCAGAGAUCCCUCUUUAUUAAAACUUAUUUAAGACUGCACCAAAUUCCAAGUAGGAGUAAAUGUUGUAAUGUAAUUAAAUCUGUGAUAUUAACAAUAAAAUGUUAAGUUUGUAUCUUUACAUGAAUAUAUCAAGUUUUGAAUAAAUAGGGCCUAUGUAUUGUGCAUUUUUUCUUUACAAAAUGUAUGAAGUAAUCACAGCCAAUCUUCUUAGUUACACACACACACACACACACACACACACACACACACACACACACACACACACAACAAACCUAUAUACUCAGUAUAAAAAAUUAUUGUGCAGGAGGAGCCUGGAGGAGCCUGGAGGAGCCUCGUUGACUCCAACUUCCCUUCCUGUUCUGUUUGUCUGGAAACCCCUUGCAUUUCAUACGAGGAACGUGGAUGUAAUUUAAGGUACGAAAACAGUUAGCAAAGUGGUUAGCUACGUGUCAUUUGGAGAUAAUGUUGUUACAUUGGAUUUAUACUGGAAGCCGGAGUAAGGUAUCUAAGUUACUAUUAUUUCUUAAGCUGGUAGGUGGCUUUAGUGGCUUCAUGUGUAAUUGAAACUCUGCCAGUGUGCCGAUAGUUGGCUCUAGUAUGAAGUUAAUUUGAAGCUAAUGUUAGCAUGCAGCUAUAAAAUAAGGCAUGUAGUGUAAGCCAACAUAGGCACCUGGAUGUUUAGAGCAGCUUGAAUAAUGUCUUAGAGUAAUUUAACUUUGUUUUCUUUUAACCUGGACAUUUGAAAUUGGUAGAAGGCGAUAGAAGCUACAAUGUAACAUUAAGAGGCAGCUACACGCCUUCAAUUUACAUCCACAACAUGUGCUUGUUUUGCCACUGACAUGCUCAGAUAAUUAUUCUGUGUCUGACAACAUUAUGGAAAGGAUCCCUGCUGAGGUCGACCUUUUGUUAAAGAGUAAGAUCCUUUUUGUUUUAACAUGGAACAUCCCUGAAAUCGCCAAACCCACCAGACUCUAUUCGAAUUAACCGUAAUUUUAUCAUCAUAAAACACAUUUCAUUUAAAGUCGACAGAAACAAGAUAAAACCUUCACAAAACAUCUUAGUUGUCUUUCCGUUGUUCCAACAACCACCACUCUGGUUUGGUUGAAAUAACCCUAAAUUCAACCAUUUACAUGUAACAAUUAUGCUGGCUCUAUACAUGCUAAAAGUAUUGAUUAUUAAAUGGAGUCUGGUGUGUUUGGUGAUGGCGAUUUUGGAGUCGUUUCUGGUUAAACGAAAAUAAUUUUAAUCUUUACAAAAAUGUCUCUCUCUGUAAGGACCCUUUCUAUAAUGUUGUCAGACACUUAUAAUAACAAUCUGAACCUGUUAUUGGCAAUAACAGCACUUUUAGUGGAUAGUAAAUAAUACAUAUAUAUAUGUAUAUAUAUGUACAGAAGUAUAUAGGGUAGCUGUAUUAGGAAUGCAAAUUACCAAGUGAUGUGCAAUCUGUGCAUAUUGAGUGUGUGAAUCUACAAUUUACAGUUAUAUUAACUAGCUCAUGGGCCAGGCAAAAAGUUGUUUUCAUUUCAGAUGGCAGAGUUCUACUUGUCCUGUUUGGGGGUUUUUUUGCAUUUCACAGAGCAAAUUGAUAGAUCUAAAUAGUUUUUUUUACUAUGAACAGCAAGAUUUCAUUUCAAAUGUGUAUGCACCAGAUGUUGCUUGCUGUGCAUUAGUUCCCAUUACCUUGAUAAUCUAUUUUUAUUGAUCCUAUGUUGGUAGUUUCUAGGGUUACUUUUUCUUGGUAUACUGUUUCUCUUUCCCAUGUGUCUCUAAUUCCUUUUCACAUUCCCAGGGAAGUUGGACAGACACACGUAGAUUGGAAGGGAGGAGCUGUUGGGAAGGAAUUUGAUGAGACCCUUGACAUCAUAAACGAGGCAUGUACUUUUAAUAUUGUAGCUGUUGGUUUAAUGUUGUAGCAUUCUGAUAUCUGUACUGUAAGAUAAUCUCGUAUUCCAUAUAUUUGAAAGAGAGAAGCUGUGAUCAGAGGCCUCAUUCUCUACCUUGAGGACUUAAUCAAGGACUAUCAGGUUUGUGAUGACAACGAUGCUUCAGCCAUCCAAGAGGCCCUCCCUUAGUUUGCACUCAACGUAUUUGUGGACAAGAGAAAUCAGGGAGGGAGGUCUUAAAAAGCAAGCUGGAAUAGCCAUCGCAGGAGCACUGGUCCUUUUUGGUGUUCCCAUUGUAGGGCUUUCACCUACCUAAUGGGCCUUUUAAGGUUUUUCAGAAGAUCUUCGUGGAGCUGGAGGAUGGGAACCAAAAAUGUUCCCCAAAGUCCACGAUCUCAAGGUCAUCUUACUGGCCUAAAUGCCAUACAGACAUUGUUGAAGGUGGAGGACUGAAAAACACACUUGUAUGGGGGUAUUUAUGUUUCAAUAUUAUUUGUGUGAACAGAUGAGCGAUCUGUGUGUAGAUGUGUAAUCGAAGUGUAAAAACACUUCGCACAAACACAAAAUGAAGAUUUGUAAACUCACAAAUAUUUUGCAAAUAGAAAACAGAACUGCAAAUACACAAAUUCCACAAAUAAUAAAAAUAUCUGUGAAUAUAUUAAAUAGUUUACAAAUAAGUGAACCACAUUUGUUUAGGUAGCUGCAAAGGAGCAUUGUUAAUGGUUAAUAAGUGCAUAAAUAAGAAUAUAUUAGCCUUUAUAAGGCAGUAAUAUAAACUUCUUACAGUCUGAUUGUCAGUCAUUGAAAAUCCUAUUAACAUUGAUAAGUGGUCUAUAAACCUUUAACAAGUUUCUAAUAAGUGCUCUUAAAUAUAUACAAGUGUAAUAUCUUACAAGCAAUAAUAAAUGUGUUUUAGGACAUUACUAACACUCAUUAAGUUCACUAAUGCUAAUAAACAUCUUAUUAAGGUUCAUGAGGUAUAUAUAACUUGUUAACAUGUUUCUAAUAAGAGCCUAUAAUUGUCUUAUAAGCAAUAAUGUGUUAAUUAUGCUGUAACACUUAUAUUGACUUAUUUAUGUUUAUAAGCAGCCUAUAAGGUCUAUAAGUGUCUUUUAACUAUUAAUUACUGCCUAUUACAAGCACCUUCAAAUACAGUGUUACUGUUAGUUCUUAAUAAUGAGAUACUAUUCUGCACAGGAUUUUUUAACUAUCUUGAGAGCUUUAUGCUGGCGCUGCAACAAUUUGAUUAAUUGAUUGGUUGAUCAGCAGAAAAUAAAUCGGUAACAAUUUUGAUAAUCUGAUAUUAUCUAAGCAGUUUCUCAGCAAGAAUCUCAGGCUCCUGCUCAUCAAAUGUGAAUAUUUCCCUGUUUUUCAUAAACUUCUAUGACAGUAAACUGAGCCUCUUUGUCCGAAUGGUCCAACAAAACAAGACAUUUUAAAAAGUCACCACGGCUUUCAGAAUAAUUUCAUAGCUCACCCCAGUAUUUGUGCACAAAGGCCUCCAAUCCAUCCUUCACUGCCUUCCCCACAUCAGGGUCCAGAGCAAUCCAUUCUGUCUUCUCCAGCUUCCAGACUAACGCUAGUACCUCCAUCAACUGGCUGUGAAGAUCCAGUGGCUCCAGAAUGGCUCUGGAGAUCUCCCUUCGCCUCGGGCUAACAUGGCUGGUCACAGCAUCAAGACCUUGUCCCUCAUGCAGAAUAAAACUAUAGUAGCCUUUCAAAAUCUCACUGAGGGCCUGCGGCUGUUCAGACGUAGGUAGGUUGGUGAGGUCCAUGCCCAGUAUAGCUCCAUCCAUGCCCCCAUUAAUAACAGCAUUAGUUGCCAGAGUGGCAGCCCGAGACAGCUUGAACACCUUAGGGUGGUCCACACUGUCCCAGCACCCGUUAGGCCCCAGGCGAUAAGAUGGCGGGAAGUCCUGGAGGCUGAAGAAGGACAGGCCCAGCGUCCUGCCUAAGGUGAGAGGGAAGAUCCCAACAGCUGGCGUCCCCUCCAACUUGGCUUUCAAUCCCGAUUCAAUUCCUAGCAGUAAAGGUGCAAGGGCUACUGUGGUGCCAUCUGGAGCGAGAACUACCCCACGUUCCUCUCCGUAAUCUGUCACAAUGUGGUGGAUGGC